rnacentral:rRNA from 1 species
UAAGCGAAGCAUGAAAGCGUACGGCCCAACCGUAUAAACAUGUUUCGAACUGCUAAGCUAGAGAGUGAGAGGGGUCGCUAGAAUUCCUGGUGUAGGGGUAAAUCCGUAGAUAUCAGGAGGAAUACCAAUGGCGUAGGCAGGCGACUGGCUCAUUUCUGACACUCAGACACGAAAGCGUGGGUAGCGAUCGGGAUUAGAUACCCCGGUAGUCCACGCCGUAAACGAUGGAUGCUA